rnacentral:tRNA from 14 species
GCACAGUGGCGUAGUGGUCAACGUGUCGCCUCACAGCAAGAAGGUUCUGGGUUCGAGUCCCGGUUCA